rnacentral:rRNA from 1 species
AAAGCCUGGGUGCCCGCGAGGGAGCCCUAGCACAGGUGCUGCAUGGCCGUCGUCAGCUCGUGCCGUGAGGUGUUGGGUUAAGUCCCGCAACGAGCGCAACCCCGCCGUUAGUGCCAGCGGUUCGGCCGGGCAUCUAACGGGACUGCCCGCGAAAGCGGGAGGAAGGAGGGGACGACGUCUGGUCAGCAUGGCCCUUACGGCCUGGGCGACACACGUGCUACAAUGCCCACUACAAAGCGAUGCCACCCGGCAACGGGGAGCUAAUCGCAAAAAGGUGGGCCCAGUUCGGAUUGGGGUCUGCAACCCGACCCCAUGAAGCCGGAAUCGCUAGUAAUCGCGGAUCAGCCAUGCCGCGGUGAAUACGUUCCCGGGCCUU